rnacentral:rRNA from 1 species
UUUAGGNCAUUAGUGAAUAUAGGACGUCCAACUUAACUUGGAGUCCGAACUCUCACUUUCUAACCCUGUGCACUUGUUUGGGAUAGUAACUCUCGCAAGAGAGCGAACUCCUAUUCACUUAUAAACACAAAGUCUAUGAAUGUAUUAAAUUUUAUAACAAAAUAAAACUUUCAACAACGGAUCUCUUGGCUCUCGCAUCGAUGAAGAACGCAGCGAAAUGCGAUAAGUAAUGUGAAUUGCAGAAUUCAGUGAAUCAUCGAAUCUUUGAACGCACCUUGCGCUCCAUGGUAUUCCGUGGAGCAUGCCUGUUUGAGUGUCAUGAAUACUUCAACCCUCCUCUUUCUUAAUGAUUGAAGAGGUGUUUGGUUUCUGAGCGCUGCUGGCUUUACGGUCUAGCUCGUUCGUAAUGCAUUAGCAUCCGCAAUCGAACUUCGGAUUGACUUGCCGUAAUAGACUAUUCGCUGAGGAAUUCUAGUCUUCGGACUAGAGCCGGGUUGGGUUAAAGGAAGCUUCUAAUCAGAAUGUCUACAUUUUAAAGAUUAGAUCUCAAAUCAAGUAAGGACUACCCCCUGAACUUAAGCCAUAUCAAUUAAGCNGNGGGAA